CCCCUUCCCGCGGCGCCCGCGCCCGCACGCGGGAACGGGCCCCGGGUCCAGGCUGCGGGCGGCCCAGGAGCCGCACCCGUGGGCUCCAGGUGCCCGGCCCGGAAAGGUGCCUGCGUCCCAGUCCCAUCUGUCCCCCUGGAUCCGCUCGCAGCCCCUUACCCGCUGGCUGCGGCAGGGAGGGGCGGUGGGAGCAGGGGACCAGUGGCAACUGCGGGCGGCCGUGAGCGCGCCAGUCAAAUUCACAGCCGCGUUGGCCCUUUGGAGACGCCCCCGGGGUCUGGGGAUCCCCCUGGCCCGGGGCUUGCCUUUUCCUGGAGAAGCUCUGGUAGGCGUGUGGUCAGUCACUGAGACAAGGUGCCCCUGGCUUACUGAGCUGGACUCUGCAAGGACUGGUGCACUCUGGGCUAACCGGGAUUGGAAAGAAAGAACCAAAGGGUUGUGGGUUCCCACCCACAGCAGCCAACAUAGGAGCUCAGGUGUCCAGGUAGAAGGAUGAGAGAGGACCAAUUUGACUUGGAGCCCCAGAACCAAGGAAGAGCCCUGAGCUGGCCUAGUGCUGGAGUCAGAAACAGAGCCAGCCCUGGAGAAGGUGAGGUUGGGAAAUGGAGAGGCAGUGAGUGUUCACAGAAGGAGCUUAUCCGGUGAACAAGCCAUGGUCCUUACCCUUGGAGAGCCUGCCGUGCCCAGGGAUGCCAGGGAAGGAAGUAGGCAGGGCUCCGCCAAGCUAAGCAUUAGGGGUAAAAAGGCGGGAGGCUAGACCUGAGCUGGGGCUAUUCCUACAGAAGGCCCAAAGGUGAGAAAGUGUGGCAUCUUUCUGAAAAUCCAACAUGGGGCUCCUAGGCUGCAUCUAGCAGGGAGGGGAGAGCAAAGGCUGCGGGUGAGCUGGGGUCCAGCCCAGGCUACAGCAAUGCUCAGGCCAGGGAAUGUCACCCAUUCAGAUCUGCAGGUGGGAACGGCACUCAGGGGCAGUGUGACAGAGGGAUCCGAGAGGAGCAGGAUUGAAGCAAGGAUCCCAUGAGGACAUAGUUGAAACUCUCUGCUCCUUGGGCUGUGGAAGGGGCAGGGCUAGGGCUGGGGCUGGAGGAGGCUGCAUUGCACAGGGGUAGAAGCAGCGGGACUGCCCGGGCUAGGGCGUAGGCACAAAGGGGUGUCAAGGAUGAAGCUCAGGACUCUGGCUAUGGUCUUAGUAGAUGGCCACUCCCUGCCACUCUGGACUCCAAGUAACUCACCCUCUGGAACAAAGUUGGUUUGGCUGCUUUUAACACAGCAGGCUGGGACCUGCAGCUGGGGGACAAGGCCAGGGCUGGUGGGAGGAGUCAGUUCCAGAGGGUUCAUGGGGAGGGGAGUGAUCAUGUAGCCAGGUCCUUGAGGUCUGGAGCAGGGACGGGGAAGGCAGGACACCAGAUGGGGAAGGCAUCACCCCUCACAAUGGUGCCCCCAGCCCCACAUCCCUCUUCUGUCAUAUAUUUGUAUCCAAGACUGCCCUGCCCUCCAACCCUUUCCCACCUGGCCUAUCGCUGCAGCCCUGAUCUCCUGCCUGCUCCUACACGACCACAUACACUUGGGCACACACGUUUACCCUGCACUUAGCCACAAACAGCUCCCCUCAGUGUGCACACCCACACACAGAGAGCAGGCCAGAGGACAGGUUGUCCGAGGGCAUCACCCGACCCCCAUCACCUCACUGCACUCCCAUCUUCCAUGGAUUGCUUGGUCCUUCC